GUUUCAAGAAUAUCAACAAUAGAAGCUUGCUCGAAAGUCGUACCACUGCCUAUCGUCGUCUCCCGGAUGCUCGAGUAUAUGAUAUUUUCACAUUAACAAGAAGAUUGGAACUCAUCUUGAUUGUUGGGAGCAUAUCCAUUUAAAUAAAUGAGUGCUUAGCUAAAUUUCUUUAUUGUUUAAAUAUAUCUUGUUGUAGUCAUAUGUAAAAAAUAAAUCCUUGGUUGAUCAAACACUCUUUAUUCAUGUGUUAUUUGUCUUUACUAUCUAUUAUAGUUUUGAUGCAUAUAAAAUGAGAUGUUUCAAGUA